rnacentral:rRNA from 1 species
UACGAAGGGGGCUAGCGUUGCUCGGAAUCACUGGGCGUAAAGCGCACGUAGGCGGCUUACUAAGUCAGGGGUGAAAUCCUGGAGCUCAACUCCAGAACUGCCUUCGAUACUGAGAGUCUCGAGUCCGAGAGAGGUGAGUGGAACUGCGAGUGUAGAGGUGAAAUUCGUAGAUAUUCGCAAGAACACCAGUGGCGAAGGCGGCUCACUGGCUCGGUACUGACGCUGAGGUGCGAAAGCGUGGGGAGCGAACAGG